UCCAAUAAUGGGAAAGGUGAAG
rnacentral:miRNA from 1 species